rnacentral:rRNA from 1 species
UAGGGAAUCUUCGGCAAUGGGGGGAACCCUGACCGAGCAACGCCGCGUGAGUGAAGAAGGUUUUCGGAUCGUAAAGCUCUGUUGUUAAGGAAGAACGAGUGUGAGAAUGGAAAGUUCAUGCUGUGACGGUACUUAACCAGAAAGGGACGGCUAACUACGUGCCAGCAGCCGCGGUAAUACGUAGGUCCCGAGCGUUGUCCGGAUUUAUUGGGCGUAAAGCGAGCGCAGGCGGUUAGAAAAGUCUGAAGUGAAAGGCAGUGGCUCAACCAUUGUAGGCUUUGGAAACUGUUUAACUUGAGUGCAGGAGGGGAGAGUGGAAUUCCAUGUGUAGCGGUGAAAUGCGUAGAUAUAUGGAGGAACACCAGUGGCGAAGGCGACUCUCUGGUCUGUAACUGACGCUGAGGCUCGAAAGCGUGGGUAGCAAACAGG